rnacentral:tRNA from 1 species
GAGGGUGUAGCACAAGUGGUAGAGUGCAUGCUUAGCAUGCACGAGGUCCUGGGUUCAAUCCCCAGUUCCUCCC